GUAGCCUGGAGGCUGGAAGGCUAGCAGGCAGGUGGUGCCUUGGCUGGUUGUUGGGGCUUCAAACAUGGAUAUGUGAACAUCAAGUGUGUCACCCAGGGUGAAAAAACAUACCUAGAUGUCCCUUGGGACUUUGUCGGUGCAAACAACACCAUUUCCUAUCACAACCUGCUGUUCAACUGUGGCAGUCAUUGCCACAGGAGACUGUGGUUGCCAAAAGCUUAAAUGGUGCAAAAAACAAUUAGGUGAGUUCAUGGAAGAAUGAUACAGCAAGGGCUAUUACACACCCAGAGACUGCCUCCAGCUCAGAAAGUUGCUAAGCCCAGCUCGCUGGAGACUGUCAGAGCACCCCAGGCAAUUAUCAUUGUGUGCCUAUCCUGUUCUUAACCUUCUUCUGUGGACAUCCACAACUCAUUGGUAUCAGUGACAAGACACUGGGUUAGAGGGACUUCUGCUCUGAGACAACCUGGCCAUUCACGUGAGACAGGAGGUGACUUGUUUUCAUUUCUGUUUCAGGCAGCGCUAAAAGAUGUUAAGUUUGUAUGAUCUCAUUGUUAAGUGAUGUGUGCUCUCGGUGUCUCCGAGAGCUGUUUCUGUUACAAAGAGCCUCAGAUCACCUUGAGGAGACAUUCCCCAGGAGGGUGGCUGUCAUUUGUGCAUCCUGCUGAAGAACAUGUGCUGGGGUUUGCAUUGUUCAGUGUCAGCAGGAGCUGAUCCCAGCAGUUCAACGUAAUCACUGAAAGCAGAGAAAAUCCAGGAGAUUUCACUGGAACUGAGCAAGAGCUUGACAGCUGGCAAAUGCUAAUAACCAGCAAUAAGUGGUGCUGGCAGCAGGGAAUAGAGGUGUGUGCAACCCUUGUCACCUCACCACAUGAAAGCCUUGAGCCCUGAGGAAGCAAGUUACCACGUGGUGAAGGACCAGCUGCUUUGGUAAACUAAAAGGAAUAAGGAGAGCCGGAAGGAGAGAGGAAGUUUUGUCAGAAAUUUCUGAAUGAGCCCAAAGAUGUUUCCAUAAAGAGCAGAAAAGUUGGAUUGAAUGUUCUCUCUGUUUAAAUGAAAAUAACUAUUCUUAACCUGAACCAAGGCCAAUGUAUCGUGCAACAUGGAUGAGUCAGGUUUUAAAGCAGUUUCUGCAAUCCCUCUGAUGCCUGGAGUGGUGCAGGAUGAGUCCAGCACAUAACAUCUAUGAGGCUCCUCUGUGCUCUCAGGGUGUUCAUGUGGAGCCAGUGAAGGAGUUGGAGUUGCAAGUCAUGCAUGUGCUUGCCUUCUUGUGUGGUGUUCAUAAAAUGAGAUUAGAGUGAUUUACAAUAGUGAAAGAUGGAACAAGACUCAGAGGAGAUGUGACUCCUUAGACAUCAUCCUGUGACUGUUGGAAGGAACCUGCAUCACUCAGGAAGGCAUGAGUUAGGCUUCUCUGAGCAAAUGAAAAAGAAAUAGGAAGAACACCUGAGGGGUUAUUUUAUUGAGCAAAGAAAUGAACUCCAGAAGAAGCUGUUUCACUGUUUGGAUUCAUUCAUGGUACUGAGAACCGGUGAGUGGAUUCCUGCGUGGACAUUUGGAGGUUGGUAGUAACCUUUCUGUUUUAGUGUCUCUUGCUUCUUGGUUUUCCGUUCUUGAGCAUCCACAUAUUUCUGUCAAACUGUUUACUGCAUCCCCCUAAAAAAAAAAAAAAAAAAAAAAAGAUAAUUGCUU